rnacentral:rRNA from 1 species
GACGCCGCGUGGAGGAUGAAGGCCCUAGGGUCGUAAACUCCUGUCAUCGGGGAGUAAAUGCUUACGUAGUAACUGACGUAGGUCUUGAUAGUACCCGAAGAGGAAGGGACGGCAAACUUCGUGCCAGCCACUUCGGUGACUGAGCGGGCUGGCAAGGCGCAUA